AUUCUACUCCCUCCGUUGCACAAUACAUGCCUUCUAUUUGUCAAAAUAUAUAUGUAUCUGGACAUGUUUUAGUAUAUAGGUACAUCCAUUUUGGACAAAUGGAAGUCAAGUAUUUUGGAAACGGAGGGAGUAUACA
rnacentral:pre_miRNA from 1 species